CAUGGACACUGCCCCCUACACAGCCAGAGCUAAACCCACGGUUCGCUGGGAGCAUAAACAGAAAGAAGCAAUGGCCUGAGACGCCCCCUGCUCGGCCACUGACUGUUGGCCCUCAGCUCCAUGGAGACUGGCUGGCUCUGACAGGCUGGGAAUCCACCAAACCAGGAGAUGGCCUUGUUCGCAGUAGGCAAAAGUACAAACAAGUCAUAUGAGCAAAGCGGCAAAACCAGGAGGAGAGACGCAGCCAACUUUGGGCCUGGCCAGUGGGACCCUGAUUUGAUAGCACAGGUACCAAGUGUUCCAUAAGCAAUGAGCAUGAUGCAAAACCAGAUUCUAGUUUCCUUCAAAAGCUGAACUAAGGAACAGUUUUAAUCGGCUACAUCUGAAAUGCUAAGCAGCCACAAAUGAUUUGGAAAAAUGGACUUCAUCUGCCCCCUGCUGUAUUCUAGUGCUUUUCCUAACACACCCAAGACGGCUUUCAUCUUGAGUUAGGGACAUCACUCAUCUGUAUCUGAAACUUCAUAUCGAUUCUCACACCCUUGGAGAUGUGGAGUCUUGAGACACCUUUUUUUGAUCAAGUGGUUUCCCAGCCAUCUCACAGUACUGUGGUCUGUCAAUCACAAACACUUCAUUCCAGACUUGUAUGCCUGUUGUUUCUCUUUCACAACCACCUCGCCAUGUAAAGCCAG